GAAAUGCGAUAAGUAAUGUGAAUUGCAGAAUUCAGUGAAUCAUCGAAUUUUUGAACGCAUAUUGCGCCCUUUGGCAUUCCGAAGGGCAUACCUGUUCGAGCGUCAUUACACCCCUCAAGCUUAGGUUUGAUGUUGGGCACUGCUGUAAGGGCAUGCCUAAAAAUUAGCGAUGGUAACCGACAACCACAGGCGCACAGAUGUCGCAAUGAUGGAAAUUGGGCACCAGUCUUUUAACUAAAUUUCUAAAUGUUGACCUCGGAUCAGGUAGGGAUACCCGCUGAACUUAA
rnacentral:misc_RNA from 1 species